AUUGAACGCUGGCGGCAGGCCUAACACAUGCAAGUCGAGCGGAUGAAGGGAGCUUGCUCCUGGAUUCAGCGGCGGACGGGUGAGUAAUGCCUAGGAAUCUGCCUGGUAGUGGGGGAUAACGUCCGGAAACGGGCGCUAAUACCGCAUACGUCCUGAGGGAGAAAGUGGGGGAUCUUCGGACCUCACGCUAUCAGAUGAGCCUAGGUCGGAUUAGCUAGUUGGUGGGGUAAAGGCCUACCAAGGCGACGAUCCGUAACUGGUCUGAGAGGAUGAUCAGUCACACGGGCAGGGAAACACGGCCCAGACCACUCGGGGAGCAAGCGGGGGGAAAUUGUGAACAAGGGGCAAAGGCCGGAUCCACCCUUCCGGGGGGGGGGAGAAAGUUCUUGGAUUUGAAAAGCUUUUUAGGUUGGGGGGAGGGGAAAAAAGUUACUACCUUGCUUUUUUAACUUCCCAAAAAAAAAAGACCCCGCCAACCUUCGUC
rnacentral:rRNA from 1 species